GCUUCCCCUCCAGACCCUUCACCAUCCUUGUGGCCCUCGUUUGAAUGCUCUCUGAGAGCUUGAUGCCUUUCUUAUAUUGUGGCACCCAAAACUGCACACAGCACUUGAGGGAACACUAGUUUGACAAGAUGAGAUUGACUGAAUAUGAUGCAGUGAAAAAAGAGACUGCCAGUGCUUGAGGAAGGUGGGGGCUGAUCUGCAGGCUCCACAGUGGACAUGAUCUGGCCAACCUGGCAUAGGAGAGUGGAUAGUUGCCUGAGGCUGUGAUGGAGUUUGGGUCAGGGUGGUUGGUACCUGCAGGAAGCACUGUGCAUGCUGGCCACAUGCUCCAUUGUACUGCUGUAGGGGCCUGUGGGUAUGCAUCGAGCCCACAAUGGAAAUGCU